rnacentral:rRNA from 1 species
GACGAACGCUGGCGGCGUGCUUAACACAUGCAAGUCGAACGAUGAACCAGGGCUUGCCCUGGGGAUUAGUGGCGAACGGGUGAGUAACACGUGGGCAACCUGCCCCAGACACCGGGAUAACCUCUCGAAAGAGUGGCUAAUACCGGAUACGACCACUUUGGGCAUCCAACGGUGGUGGAAAGGAUUCUGGUCUGGGAUGGGCCCGCGGCCUCUCGGCUUGUUGGUGGGGUAAUGGCCUACCAAGGCGACGACGGGUAGCCGGCCUGAGAGGGGGACCGGCGACACUGGGACUGAGACACGGCCCAGACUCCUACGGGAGGCAGCAGUGGGGAAUAUUGCGCAAUGGGCGAAAGCCUGACGCAGCGACGCCGCGUGAGGGACGAAGGUCUUCGGAUUGUAAACCUCUUUCAGCAGGGACGAAGCGAAAGUGACUGUACCUGCAGAAGAAGCACCGGCUAACUACGUGCCAGCAGCCGCCGUAA